GCCUGGGUGGCUCAGUUGGUUGAGCGUCCGACUUCAGCUCAGGUCAUGAUCUCACAGUUCGUGGGUUCGAGCUCCGCAUCGGGCU
rnacentral:tRNA from 1 species